AGCGUUAAUCAAAAUUAAUGUAUUAAUUUGUCCCGAAGUGAAACUAAACGGAGGCGGGUGGUUCACCAUACCACAUUUUCCUGGUAAUCGCACAUUCGGUAUUACGCAGAGUUUGACUUGCACCGCUGCGCUGCGAGCCUGAAGAUUUGACGGUAGGAGCGAAGCUGUGGCGAGAACGUGAGAGAGAUGACAAGGGGAAAGCAAAAGAUCGAAGCGCAGAGAAAAAACGCGGAGAAGAAUCAGAAGGGCAAAGGGUCUCAGAUCGAAGCCCGAGCUGUUGGCCUCAAAGUCAUCUGCCCCAUCUGCAAGGCACAACUAGCUAACCAGAAUCAGCUUGUGGAUCAUUAUGGAUCAAAACAUCCAAAAGAAAAGCCCCCAAGCAACUCGGGAUGAUGUGGUAUUGCUGAUGAAGAUGCAUGCUCUCGUCUCUGAACUUGCCAGUUUGAGUGAAUGAAUACAGUUGUUGAUGGUUGAGUGGUCUGAACGAAGUUUGACUUUUUCUACUUAUAGUGACUAUAUUAUAGUGACUAUGUGAAAGGACAGAUGUUUGUGACUAUUUGAUAUCAAUAAUUAUGGAAAAAAAAGAUCUUGUUUCUUUUGACGAAGAAACAACCUGC